rnacentral:rRNA from 1 species
GUACACGCUGUGACUAGCAUAUCAAUAAGCGGAGGAAAAGAAACUAACAAGGAUUCCCCUAGUAACGGCGAGUGAAGCGGGAAGAGCUCAAAUUUGAAAUCUUAAAGGGUUUCCCUUUACGAAUUGUAGUUUAAAGAAGUGAUUUUCUGUUGAGUGUAUUGGCUAAAAGUUCUUUGGAAUAGGACAUCAUAGAGGGUGAGAAUCCCGUAUUUGAUCAUUCCUUUCUAACUUUGUGAUACACUUUCAAAGAGUCGGAUUGUUUGGGAAUGCAGUCCAAAAUGGGUGGUAAACUUCAUCUAAAGCUAAAUAUUGGCGAGAGACCGAUAGCGAACAAGUACCGUGAGGGAAAGAUGAAAAGAACUUUGAAAAGAGAGUUAAACAGUACGUGAAAUUGUCAAAAGGGAAGCGUUUGACACCAGUGUUGUUUUUCUGAAAAUCAAUUAAAGAACUGUUUAUGCUAAGCUGUUUAGACUUUAUCAGCUAACUGUUUAGUUUUGAGCUUUUCUUUAAUGCACUUUUCAGUUAACAAGUCAACAUCAAUUUCUUUUGCUGUAAAAAAGCUUGAGGAAGGUGGCUUGAGAUUCGUCUUAAGUGUUUAUAGCCUCUUGCCUAUGCAGUCGGAGAGAUUGAGGUCUGCAGCGUAGAUCCUUCGGGGCUAAAUGCAUUUGUGCUAAGUUAUAGCAUUUUAUAGACAACUUGUUGACUAUGAUUUGUCUUGUAGCUUACUCGCUUAUGUUAUUUUACCUACGCUUAGGAUGUUGAUAUGCAUGACUGAUAU